GGAGAGUUACUCAAGUGGCUGAAGAGGCGGGUUUGCUAAACCUGUAGUAGGGAGUAAUUCCUAGCGGGGGUUCGAAUCCCCCACUCUCCGCCA
rnacentral:tRNA from 1 species